GAGGCAGGUGGAUCACCUGAGGUCAGGAGUUCAAGACCAGCCUGGCCAACUUGGUGAAACCCUGUCUCUACUAAAAAUACAAAAAAUUAGCCAGCUGGGCAUGGUGGUAGGCCCCUGUAAACCCAGCUACUCAGGAGGCUGAGGCAGGCAGAUCACUUAAGGCCAGGAGUUUCAGACCAGCCUGGCCAGCAUGGUGAAACCCUGGCUGUACAAAAAAUACAAAACUUAGAAGGGCACAGUGGCAGGUGCCUGUAAUCCCAGCUACUCGAGAGGCUGAGGCAUGAUAAUCGCUUGAACUCGGGAGGCAGAGGUUUCAGUGAGCUGAGAUAGUGCCACUGCUCUCCAGCCUGGGCGACAGAGCAAGACUCUGUCAAAUAAAUAAAUAAAUAUUGAAAAACACACUCACACACACAUAUAUGCAGAGAAAGAGAUAGGAAGUAUUGGGAAGGGAGUAAGGAAGAGGAGAGUUCAAUACAUGUUUUAGAAGUCUGGCAUCUAUUACUAGUUAAAUUCUGAUUUUUUUCAUUUAUUAUUGUGCCAUAAAAAUGUUUUCGUAUCACAGCACAGUCUUUAAAAACAUUGCAAAAGUCACGCUGAAGGAAGCUAUUAAAC
rnacentral:lncRNA from 1 species